UCCGCUUGGAGAGAUCGAGGUCCUCGAGGCCGAGCACCUGGAGAAGAUCUGGGAGACGAGCGAUGGAAGAGCUCUCUUUUACAAGCCUGUCCAGGUACCAGAUGGGUUUCAUGCGCUUGGCUGUCAUGCAAGACGAACAGAGGUACCUGAUAGCUUGCUGUUGUUAGUGCGAGGCAGCGGCGUCACCGCCGGUGCCUCCAAACCAGCUCCUCUCGCUCCACCCGUCGACUACUCACUCGUCUGGAAGAGCCCAGUUAGAAACGAGAAUGAGACGGCCAUGGCUUUCUGGUUACCUCUGCCUCCCGCUGGUUACAAGGCACUCGGCUUCGUCGCCAGCGUCACCAAGCCUGGAGUGGACGAGGUUGCCUGCGUUCGAGAGGAUCUCACCAGCGAUGCCACUAUCUCCAACUCCA
rnacentral:lncRNA from 1 species